AGGACAUCCAGUGCUGUACCCACUACGAUGUUGUUACUACUUACUUUUAUUUGCUCCCAGAAGAUCUCUGCUUCACCCACUAUAAUGACAAAUGUGAUGAAAAUCCAGAUAGAGGAAGCAUUAAGUGACAAAAAUGAAUCACAAGAGUCAUCAGAAGAAUUGUGGAUGAUGCCGUUUGACAUCAGGGAAAAUAAUUAUCCUGUCCCCAUUAGAUGCUGGUUUUGCUGCGGCUGCUGUGUCACGGGUGUCUGCGGCUUGUGCUGCAAAUGAAAUUCUGCUGUGCUGAGAAUAUUCUUUUUUAACCACCAUUGAUAUUUGUUCAUGUUGUCUUCAAUUCAAUAUGUGAUGUCACUGAAUGUGUUCAAUGGUUUAGACACCAGAAUACUUUUCCACUUACAUUUAAA